UACAGAGACUGCAAGCGUUAUUCGGAUUCACUGGGCGUAAAGGGUGCGCAGGCGGCCAUGUGUGUUAGGCGUGAAAGCCUGAGGCUUAACCUCAGAAUUGCACCUAAAACUACAUGGCUAGAGCAUUGGAGAGGGUAGCGGAAUUCACGGUGUAGCAGUGAAAUGCGUAGAUAUCGUGAGGAACACCAGAGGCGAAGGCGGCUACCUGGACAAUUGCUGACGCUCAGGCACGAAAGCGUGGGGAGCAAAA
rnacentral:rRNA from 1 species